rnacentral:rRNA from 1 species
UCGGGAAUAUUGCGCAAUGGAGGAAGCUCUGACGCAGUGACGCCGCGUAUAGGAAGAAGGUUUUCGGAUUGUAAACUAUUGUCGUUAGGGAAGAUAAAAGACAGUACCUAAGGAGGAAGCUCCGGCUAACUACGCGCCAGCAGCCGCGGUAAUACGUAGGGAGCAAGCGUUAUCCGGAUUUAUUGGGUUUAAAGGGAGCGCAGGCGGACCCUUAAGUCAGUUGUGAAAUACGGCGGCUCAACCGUCGGACUGCAGUUGAUACUGGGGGUCUUGAGUUCACACAGGGAUGCCGGAAUUCAUGGUGUAGCGGUGAAAUGCUCAGGUAUCAUGAAGAACCCCGAUCGCGAAGGCAGGCAUCCGGGGUGUUACUGACGCUGAGGCUCGAAAGUGCGGGUAUCAAACAGGAUUAGAUACCCUGGUAU